GUGGGGAAUCUUGCGCAAUGGGCGAAAGCCUGACGCAGCCAUGCCGCGUGAAUGAUGAAGGUCUUAGGAUUGUAAAAUUCUUUCACCGGGGACGAUAAUGACGGUACCCGGAGAAGAAGCUCCGGCUAACUUCGUGCCAGCAGCCGCGGUAAUACGAAGGGGGCUAGCGUUGCUCGGAAUUACUGGGCGUAAAGGGCGCGUAGGCGGACAGCUUAGUGAGAGGUGAAAGCCCAGGGCUCAACCUUGGAAUUGCCUUUGAUACUGGCUGUCUUGAGUUUGGGAGAGGUGAGUGGAACUCCGAGUGUAGAGGUGAAAUUCGUAGAUAUUCGGAAGAACACCAGUGGCGAAGGCGACUCACUGGCCCAAUACUGACGCUGAGGCGCGAAAGCGUGGGGAGCAAACAGGAUUAGAUACCCGUGUAGUCC
rnacentral:rRNA from 1 species